rnacentral:rRNA from 1 species
ACCUUAGUUGCUUCGGCGGGCCCGCCAUUCGUGGCCGCCGGGGGCUCUCAGCCCCGGGCCCGCGCCCGCCGGAGACACCACGAACUCUGUCUGAUCUAGUGAAGUCUGAGUUGAUUGUAUCGCAAUCAGUUAAAACUUUCAACAAUGGAUCUCUUGGUUCCGGCAUCGAUGAAGAACGCAGCGAAAUGCGAUAACUAGUGUGAAUUGCAGAAUUCCGUGAAUCAUCGAGUCUUUGAACGCACAUUGCGCCCCCUGGUAUUCCGGGGGGCAUGCCUGUCCGAGCGUCAUUGCUGCCCAUCAAGCACGGCUUGUGUGUUGGGUCGUCGUCCCCUCUCCGGGGGGGACGGGCCCCAAAGGCAGCGGCGGCACCGCGUCCGAUCCUCGAGCGUAUGGGGCUUUGUCACCCGCUCUGUAGGCCCGGCCGGCGCUUGCCGAACGCAAAUCAAUCUUUUUCCAGGUUGACCUCGGAUCAGGUAGGGAUACCCGCUGAACUUAAGCAUAUCAAUAAGCGGAGGAAAAGAAACCAACCGGGAUUGCCUCAGUAACGGCGAGUGAAGCGGCAAGAGCUCAAAUUUGAAAGCUGGCUCCUUCGGGGUCCGCAUUGUAAUUUGCAGAGGAUGCUUCGGGUGCGGCCCCUGUCUAAGUGCCCUGGAACGGGCCGUUCAGAGAGGGUGAGAAUCCCGUCUGGGAUGGGGUGUCCGCGCCCCGUGUGAAGCUCCUUCAACGAGUCGAGUUGUUUGGGGAAUGCAACUCUAAAAUGGGUGGGUAAAUUUCCAUCUAAAGCUAAAUACUGGCCUGAGACCGAUAGCGCACAGUAGAGUGAUC